rnacentral:misc_RNA from 1 species
GAUGAAGAACGUAGCGAAAUGCGAUAAGUAAUGUGAAUUGCAGAAUUCAGUGAAUCAUCGAAUCUUUGAACGCACAUUGCGCCCGCCAGUAUUCUGGCGGGCAUGCCUGUCUGAGCGUCAUUUCAACCCUCAUGCCCCUAGGGCGUGGUGUUGGGGAUCGGCCAAAGCCCGCGAGGGACGGCCGGCCCCUAAAUCUAGUGGCGGACCCGUCGUGGCCUCCUCUGCGAAGUAGUGAUAUUCCGCAUCGGAGAGCGAUGAGCCCCUGCCGUUAAACCCCCAACUUUCCAAGGUUGACCUCAGAUCAGGUAGGAAUACCCGCUGAACUUCAGCAUAUCAAUAAGCGGAGGA